UUUGAUUCACAAGACAAUGUUUCUGUAUUAUUAUUGUAAUUACGGUAAAUAUAAUAUUUCACCUUUGAAAUGCUAAGGUAAUGGAGCUAUUAUAUUUUUUGUGUUUGUAAUACUUGUUAGUGAUAUCUUGUGAUUGAUGAAAAAAGUGAUUUUAGCUAUUCACCUGGUCCACAGGACUGAUGAACUUAUGAAAUGGCGCAGCAGUUGUCUUUCGUCUUGUCAUGCGUCAUUGUUUCCUUAGAAAACUACUUCUCCAGAGUAAAUGAUACAAUUUCGACCUAUUUGGGGAAUUUAAGCCUUGAUGGAAGUGUGCGGAGUUGUUUGUUUGACAUCUGGGGCCUGAGGAACAUGGCAUAAUGUAGGCCCGUAAUAGAGCAGAAUAAGAUUAGUAUAUCUUCUAAAGCCUACCAAUCCUGAACGAAAUACAAAUUAUGACAAUAUGUUUCAGGGUUUGUCGUGAGGACAAUUCUUUCAUCGGGAGCCUUUGAAAAAAAUCGUGAGGCCACUGCAUGUGGACUUGCGAUGUCAUGCAUGUGGAGCGAUGAGAAAAAUUGUUCCAACUACAAACCCCAAAACACUUCUGAUAAAUCAACUUUAUACAAAUACCUUUAAUAUGUUCGCAGUCAAAAACCAUAUUUUCCGACUGACUUCUAUAAGCCUCAGUGACAUGUGUAAACAAAUACAGGUUUUGUAUGGAGGGAUAUAAUGGACCUUAAAGUUAUGUACAAAAUAUUUUUAAAGCAAUAUUCUUGUCAUUGGCUUCUUCACAUCAACUUUUGCACAUUAACCGAGGCAAGGCGAUCAUGUCAAUAAAUGAAGAUUGUAUAUCCCCUCUGACAUUAUUGGUAGGGCCUUAAAUGUAAAUUAUAGGCAUUUUCAUUUCAAAUGUCAACUCCUUAUGAACAACUGUUAAAUAUUUCUAAGGCAAACUAAUACUGGUUUGUAUAGUGAAGGUGGUGAGGUCCCUAGGGUCAGAGAUGGGAUUCGUACGUAGAAUUAGGAGUGUAAAGAUGUACUACUUUAGAAUGACUGCGAUCUCCUCUAUUUGGCUUCUAACACAGAGCGUGGACAUGAAAAGAUGGAUGUAUCUACGAUAACGGGUUUGGGACCAGGGAGUGAGCCCCCCCCCCCAAUGGUAUUAACUCCCUGUAUCAUAACAUGGAAACAGUUAAAUAUUUACCCAUGCUUUGCUUUGGAGAUAUGACCCAAUUCCUGGAUACUUCCUACACCUUUGGAAGUUCUACCUGGAUCUAACAUUGCAACAGUUGAGAUCCCUACACUAUAACCAUGUACAAUGUACUUAAAUGUGGGGUAUGGAAUACAAACACAUUUAAGUUAGUGUUGUCUUGCGUGCCUUUGCGGAUUCCGUCCUGGUUAAAGCUUAUAAUUCUUUUACUUUUUUGAUAAACGUGUAUGAUAUUCAACGGGUUUUUAUAUUGUGUAGAAAAUUCCAGGUGACCUCUAAAUGUCCCUCGGCCCAUUGUUGCUAUUAUGGUAAGCAUCAUAUACCACCAGUGUCAUUGUGAGACAAUGUUUCUAUUCCAUCUAUGUAUCAGACAUUUUCUAAACAUGAAGUAAAAAUUCAAUUGUUGUUAUAUAAAUAUAUAUAAUUUUUACAUUAUACUGAUAUUUUGAUGUAUAUAGAUACUGAUGUUAUGAUGUUUUUCCUAUGUGUAUUUUCAUAUAGUAAUAUUGUUUAUUUUGAAACAUGGGAAAUUCUUAUGUUUAGCUUAUAUGGCAUAAAGUGCCCAUGUGCUUAUGCCAUGAGGCGGAGUCCAUCGUCGCCUGUGUCGAUUACCCGUCUGCCAUCUGUCCGUCGUUUGCUCUUUCGUCACUACUUUGAAAUAAUUCUUCUCAGCAAUAUAUAAUCAUAAAUAUCGGUUAGCAUUAUGCUGAUGAUGAGCAUGACUUACAUUAUAUGUCAAAGAGAUCAAAGUGUCGCAAAAACACUUCUCCUAAAAAACCUUAACACCUGCAGUCUUUAAUUUACCGUGUAACUUGCUGAAGUCAACAGCAAAUAUUUGAAAUAAAGUCUACCAUCCUAUAAAUCAGUAGAAGAGGAAUGGUAUAUCGCAUGAAUAGCUUGCUGAUGUAAAAGGACACUAUAAACUAUGUUCGCACACAUUUAUGGCGAAAAGAGUUGAAACUGUGUAAAAAUCAAACAAAUAAACCUUAUUAGACCAAGCCUUAUUAUUGUUGAAAUUCUGAAGUUAUUGUUGAAAUUCUGAAGUUAAUACAAAUCUUAAUUUGCCACCAUGAUCCCAAAUUUGUGUUUUCAAAUAAACAGGUCAACGAUGCAGGCCCAUGGACAUUUUUUAAUCAUUAUUGAUUUUUUUUUAUAUUAUAUUGUUGUUGUGAUAUUGAUGUUGUGAGAGAUCAAUUUGUUGAUGUGUUGUGACAAAUUCCGAGAUUGGAUUUAUUCUUACCAAUGGGAAAUUACACAAUUGCAUUGAUCUGACGUUGAAAAUGGGAAACAAUCCGGACAACGGCUCGGGUGCAAGAUAGACGUCUUGGUUACAUGGAAGACGGAGCAACAUUAGAACGAUACAUUCAUGGGGGCCGUAUGACGUCACGUUGAGUUUUAGAGAAACAAUCACCUUCAUGCUGCUAUGCAGACGAAACAUACAGAUUAAAUUGAAGUGAGUGAAACAUCAAAAUUAGAACCAGCUGCUUAAAGUGAUGUCAUCACCAAGUAGAACCGCGGCUUGAAGUGACGUCAUCACCAAGAAGAGCCACUGUGUGAAAUUAAAUCACCAUCAUCAAUGAAGCUCCAUGGUUCAGUUGUGUUAAGAUUGAUUCAUGUUUCAUUUUUUUUAUAUAUAUUUUUUUAAUAUAUCUUUUUUCUUAAUUUGUACAGACAUCGUUGAUUUUCUAUGUAUGUUAUAAUAAGAGUGAUACUUUUGGGUCCAAUGUCAUGAACAGUGUUUUUUUCGAUUUUAAUUAUAAUGAAAAUAUAAAAUUCCGCUUUCAUAACAUAGAUCCUCAUCUCCCGGUCAAUCAAUAUAAUGUAAUACACGAACAUAUAUGCUCAGCAAAAAAAGAAAGGUUAACACACCACUCCCUUGGGGACAACCUCCAUAUCGGUUAAAGUAGAACAUUCGGGAAUGGAAUACCUAGACCAAGUGGUAUCCUAUUCAUUGAAAUCAUUCAGCUGUAAAUGUCUGUGUGAUCAAAGAGUUCCUCGUGUGUUUUUGUAAAUAAUUCGUGAAUAACGCAAGUGCCCAGUAUAAAACGUAAAUGGAAUUCCUCUGCUACGAUGACCUACUACGAUUGAAAACUUUAAAAACAAUGAACACAAACACGUAUUUUUACAUUCCUUGGCUGUCACGAGGUCAGAGGGAAAGUGCUGGUCGUCAAGUUGCACAACAAUUUGGUUGCAGUUUAAAGAGCGUAAACCUUUUGUCAAAUCGUUUUAACCGAACUUGGUCGAGGUGUGAAUGUUCACGAAGCGGAAGACACCGUGUAACGUCUGCUUCUCGGGAAAACCUCCUGAAAUGGCUAAUCCAUCUGCAAAAUCACAGAUACUACUUAGUCGUCCUGGAUCUGCCGAAACCUUCCAAAACCACUUGAAAGUGUAUAACACGAUAAUUCCCCACUGCAUACGAGUCGCGUCAAGGUAACUGUUUUAAAACAAAACAAUGUUAUGGUUUUGGGUUUUUCAUCUAAAUCACUCGACAUAUCGUCCAUAGUCCACAUUUGGAAAGUCUUUGGCAAUACGUUCAGAAACGUCAAAAUCAGCGGUUUAACUUGCAGGAGAUAAAGCUUUGACCGAUGAAUAAAACACUAUCCCUCCUAACCUUAUCCGUCAGUUUUUAAGUUCAAUUCUUAAUUAUUAUAUUUUUUUUCGGCGAAAACAGUGAUCAUACGUGGUAUUAUACAGGCGACUUAUGAACCUCGACUAACCUUCCCUAAACAUGGAAUAAAAUCAACUCAGCACGGCAAUGUUUUUAAUAAGAAAUUAAUUAACCAACACUUCACCGAACAACAUAUUAUUAAAUUGAAAAAUAAAAAAAACUUUUGGUGAAUUAUUGUAUAUUAUAUAACUACUUGACCAAAUGUAAGACGAGUCGUUGACUCAACUUUGUCAACAAGUAUAUAAAUAAAGACUAUUAUACACUUGCAUUAAAUAGCUUAAUGGAGUGCCCACCCUUCUUUUUUCCUGAGUAUACGUACCGUGGGAUGAAAAUCUGUG
rnacentral:lncRNA from 1 species